AUGCGAUAAGUAAUGUGAAUUGCAGAUACAGUGAAUCAUCGAAUCUUUGAACGCAAAUGGCACUCUAUGGUAUUCCGUAGAGUACGUCUGUUUGAGCGUCGCGAACAUCUCCACAAUUAGUUUUUUUAAUUAGUUGAGGGUUUUGAGGUUGUCAUAUAAACAGUGACUCCCUUUAAAAUAAUUAGUGAUGACCUUAUGAAUGGGUUAAUACUGUGUGUUAUAAUGGAUUACAUCCAUCACCAGUCAGAGAGUAAUCUCGCCUUAGUAAUUUGUAGUGAUUGCUUCUAACUGCCAAUUGGCAACAACCUGAUCAAAUCGACCUCAAAUCAGAUGGGAUUACCCGCUGAACUUAA
rnacentral:misc_RNA from 1 species